GACGAACGCUGGCGGCGUGCUUAACACAUGCAAGUCGAACGGAAAGGCCCUGCUUUUGUGGGGUGCUCGAGUGGCGAACGGGUGAGUAACACGUGAGUAACCUGCCCUUGACUUUGGGAUAACUUUAGGAAACUGGGGCUAAUACCGGAUAGGAGCUCCUGCUGCAUGGUGGGGGUUGGAAAGUUUCGGCGGUUGGGGAUGGACUCGCGGCUUAUCAGCUUGUUGGUGGGGUAGUGGCUUACCAAGGCUUUGACGGGUAGCCGGCCUGAGAGGGUGACCGGCCACAUUGGGACUGAGAGACGGCCCAGACUCCUACGGGAGGCAGCAGUGGGGAAUAUUGCACAAUGGGCGGAAGCCUGAUGCAGUAACGCCGCGUGCGGGAUGACGGCCUUCGGGUUGUAAACCGCUUUCGCCUGUGACGAAGCGUGAGUGACGGUAAUGGGUAAAGAAGCACCGGCUAACUACGUG
rnacentral:rRNA from 1 species